rnacentral:rRNA from 1 species
GAGUCAAUCGUCCACCGUGGGACGAUCGCAGGUUCGAGGAGUCCCAAAUGCAUGGAACCGGGCAGACUCUACGGAGCAGCAGUGAGGAAUAUGUUCAUGCGAGAGGCUGACAAGCAGUAGCGUGCAGAUGACGCCUACGGGUGUAAACUGCUUUGCGGGAGGAUAAAGUGCGCUACGUGUAGCGCUUUGCAGGUAUCCCGUGAAUAAGGACGGCUAAUUCCGUGCCAGCAGCCGCGGUAAUACGGAAGGUCCCGGGCGUUAUCCGGGAUUUAUUGGGUUUAAAGGGAGCGCAGGCGGAGGUGCAAGCGUGCCGUGAAAGCGCGGGGCUCAACCCCGUACAGCGGCGCGAACUGCUCCCCUUGGUUGCGGGAAGGGAAGGCGGAACUCGUGGUGUAGCGGUGAAAUGCAUAGAUAUCACGAAGAACUCCGAUCGCGAAGGCAGCCUUCCGGCCCGUGAACGACGCUCAUGCUCGAAGGCGCGGGUAUCAAACAGGAUUAGAUACCCUGGUAGUCCGCGCGGUAAACGAUGAACACUCGGGAUUUGCCCCUUGUGGGUGAGUCCCCCAGCGAAAGCGUUAAGUGUUCCACCUGGGGAGUACGCCGGCAACGGUGAAACUCAAAGGAAUUGACGGGGGCCCGCACAAGCGGAGGAACAUGUGGUUUAAUUCGAUGAUACGCGAGGAACCUUACCCGGGCUUGAAAUGUGCAUGACGGGAGGCAGAGACGCCUCCUUCCUUCGGGCAUGCAUGUAGGUGCUGCAUGGUUGUCGUCAGCUCGUGCCGUGAGGUGUCGGCUCAAGUGCCAUAACGAGCGCAACCCCUUCCGCCGGUUACCAUCGGGUGAUGCCGGGGACUCCGGCGGCACUGCCGCCGCAAGGCGUGAGGAAGGCGGGGAUGACGUCAAAUCAGCACGGCCCUUACGUCCGGGGCCACACACGUGUUACAAUGGGGGCACAGCGAGCUGGAGCAGGGCGACCUGCUUCGAAUCAUGAAAUCCCCUCCCAGUUCGGACCGGAGUCUGCAACCCGACUCCGCGAAGCCGGAUUCGCUAGUAAUCGCGCAUCAGCCAUGGCGCGGUGAAUACGUUCCCGGGCCUUGUACACACCGCCCGUCAAGCCAUGAAAGCCUGGGGCGCCUGAAGUCCGUAGCGGCGACGCGCGGCCGAGGGCGAUACAGGUGAUUGGGGCUAAGUCGUAACAAGGUAAAUCACUGCCGUCGUAAAUCCC